AACGAACGCUGGCGGUAUGGCUAAAACAUGCAAGUCGGACGCGAAAGUUCCCUUCGGGGAGCGUGUAGAGUGGCGAAAGGGCGAGGAAUAUGUGGGCAACGUACCCCAAGCACAGGGAUAGCCGCGGGAAACCACGGAUAAUACCUGAUGAGACCACGGUGCUGCAGGGCGCAGCGGUCAAAGGACGGGGAUCCCUUCGGGGACCUGUUGGCUUGGGAGCGGCCCAUAUCCUAUCAGCUAGUUGGUGAGGUAACGGCCCACCAAGGCUACGACGGGUAGCGGGACUGAGAGGUUGGCCCGCCGCAUUGGGACUGAGACACUGCCCAGACUCCUACGGGUGGCAG
rnacentral:rRNA from 1 species